GUGGGGAAUAUUGGGCAAUGGGGGAAACCCUGACCCAGCAACGCCGCGUGAAGGAAGAAGGUUUUCGGAUCGUAAACUUCUAUCCUUGGUGAAGAUAAUGACGGUAGCCAAGAAGGAAGCCCCGGCUAACUACGUGCCAGCAGCCGCGGUAAUACGUAGGGGGCAAGCGUUGUCCGGAAUGAUUGGGCGUAAAGGGCGCGUAGGCGGCCUGGUAAGUCUGGAGUGAAAGUCCUGCUUUUAAGGUGGGAAUUGCUUUGGAUACUGUCGGGCUUGAGUGCAGGAGAGGUAAGCGGAAUUCCCGGUGUAGCGGUGAAAUGCGUAGAGAUCGGGAGGAACACCAGUGGCGAAGGCGGCUUACUGGACUGUAACUGACGCUGAGGCGCGAAAGUGUGGGGAGCAAACAGGAUUAGAAACCCGUGUAGUCC
rnacentral:rRNA from 1 species